rnacentral:rRNA from 1 species
CCUACGGGUGGCUGCAGUGGGGAAUAUUGGACAAUGGGGGCAACCCUGAUCCAGCCAUGCCGCGUGUGUGAAGAAGGCCCUCGGGUUGUAAAGCACUUUCAGUGAGGAAGAACGCCUGGUGGUUAAUACCCAUCAGGAAAGACAUCACUCACAGAAGAAGCACCGGCUAACUCCGUGCCAGCAGCCGCGGUAAUACGGAGGGUGCGAGCGUUAAUCGGAAUUACUGGGCGUAAAGCGCGCGUAGGUGGCUUGAUAAGCCGGUUGUGAAAGCCCCGGGCUCAACCUGGGAACGGCAUCCGGAACUGUCAAGCUAGAGUGCAGGAGAGGAAGGUAGAAUUCCCGGUGUAGCGGUGAAAUGCGUAGAGAUCGGGAGGAAUACCAGUGGCGAAGGCGGCCUUCUGGACUGACACUGACACUGAGGUGCGAAAGUGUGGGUAGCAAACAGGAUUAGAUACCCGGGUAGUC